UAAUUCUCAAAAACAAAGUCAUUAAAAUCAAAUCUUGACUUUGUAUAGCUCUCACAAAGUCUAUACAAAUUCAGCUUGCCCAAAACUAAUGCAUGUAGAACUCCUCUUAAGUUUUCUUUCUAAUCCUACUUUCUAAUCAAUAAAAUAACUUUGCAUUUGUCAUAAACACAUAAUUUGGUGCCUUGGGAUUUGAUUUUGAUCCUAGUUCACAAAUGGUGGUUGAAUAUCAAUCUAAGUUUUUUUGAUAAAUGUGAUGAAUACUACCUUUAACUUUCACCUAAAAAUGUAUUUAGUAGUUUUUUUGCUUAAUCUAUCUUAUCUCGUUUUGUCUAUGGCCCUUCAAACUAAAUAAGACACCUAAGCUACCCUCAUCUCUUGAUCCUUCAUGCAAAUAUGUUAAGUUCAAUCUCCGCAAUUUAACAAUUCACUAUCACAAUUUCCAUCUAAUCUUGAGAUCACCAGCUUGCUUACCAACACUACCGAUCUGUAGCCAUGAAAUGGCUUCCCUUCAGUCCAAAAGCCAAUACGGAGUCAAAGCUCAAUUGGCCUUCCAUGUUCUGACCAAUUUACACAGAUGUACUACUUAAGUUAUGAAUCUGUAGGGUCUCCAAACUUACAAGUUCUUUGAGAUGAUCGGAAAUUGUUUUGUCAGUGGGUUCGGUGGUGGCGGGUCAACCAAGUGAUUCGCCAUAAGAGUCCACCUUUAAUAGCAGUCAUGAACUCCAAUAAGUAAUAUUGGGCUCUGUGAGAAGCAAGCUAACUAAUGCAGACAGCUCCAAUCGGGUCCAGGUGAUCAAACAGUAGUGGAAAAAAGGGUUCAGUGUUCUAUGUACAUGCAUCCCAUGGUGCGUUAGUAAUAUGCGUGGUAAACAGCACUCUGAAAUUUUAUUUAGUGUAGAGACCACAGAAAAGCCAAAAACAAUCGUCUACGACAGGUCCACUUACACUGAAUACAUUUGGUAGCAAGAACUACGAUAAUGUGAAAUCUAAAUCACAACAGGUGCUGCAACACUGCCUGGGUAUCUAUUGACCUCUCUCCGGUUACACCCAGAUGCUUUUCCUUUGUCUUCCACACAAAUAAUCCAUUCACGUAAAUAGGUAUCAAUCAUAAGCAGUAUGACGGUCUAAUGACAAUGAUUUGAGAAAAAGCGUAUAAUGUGAAAUCUAAAUCACAACAGGUGCUGCAACAGUGCCUAGGUAUCUAUUGACCUCUAUCCGGUUUCAAAAUCGACCUUUUAGUAUUCAUGCAACUAUCGCACUAACAAUCAAAAGUCGCAAUGUCAACUACUAUUCUGACAAUAAGUGAUCAGAGGAGAACAUAGCAAAGAAUAUUAAUAAAGUGAAUUAUCUUAGCAGACUGCAAUACAAUUCAUGAGCAAUGUUUUAUUCAGAAAUCCUCAUCUGCAAGGGUGGGGCGGGUGACAGGUACCGCCCAACGCCCCAAGUGAGCUGUGUAAUUUAAGCAUCUGACUAUCCCCUUACCCGAGGAGCCAUCAGGAAAGUCAAUGACGCUCAAGCUGCCCGUGUCUAGGUGGUAGGAUCCCAAGGCAGCCUGCGUGAGGCCAAGACAAUGCGCCACCAUUGCAACAUGUACAGUUGGGUGAGAGACCACUACCACUGUACGUUCUUGGGACUCUUUAGAAUCUGCUGCGGGUACGUUGCCGAGCUCAGCUACCACCUCCUGCCAUGCCUGGCCCGCUCGCUCCCAUAAAGAGGAGAGGCUCUCGGCUCCAGGGACAUCUUCGUGUUGCAGGUAGUCUUGCCAACGCUCUCGCUCCAACACAGUUUCCUUUGACUUCCCCUGUGUGAAAGAAACGUGCCACUAAACGAACAGGAAAAACAAAAUAAAGAUAAAAAGACAGAAAAAAACCAAUAACUACAGCAAAACAAUCCCCAAACGUUAAUGAGCACUCACCACCCAUUCGCCCCAAACCAUGUCUCGUAGACUAGACAACUCUUUCAUAUCUACGUAGCGAGGCAAGCAGUCUACACCUAAGCAGUCAGCUGCCUCUUGCACCUGUCCA
rnacentral:lncRNA from 1 species